rnacentral:rRNA from 1 species
UACGUAGGGGGCUAGCGUUGUCCGGAAUCAUUGGGCGUAAAGCGCGUGUAGGCGGCCCGGUAAGUCCGCUGUGAAAGUCGGGGGCUCAACCCUCGGAUGCCGGUGGAUACUGUCGGGCUCGAGUACGGAAGAGGCGAGUGGAAUUCCUGGUGUAGCGGUGAAAUGCGCAGAUAUCAGGAGGAACACCUAUUGCGAAGGCAGCUCGCUGGGACGUCACUGACGCUGAGACGCGAAAGCGUGGGGAGCGAACAGG